rnacentral:rRNA from 1 species
AGAGUUUGAUCCUGGCUCAGAAUCAACGCUGGCGGCGUGCCUAACACAUGCAAGUCGAACGCGAAAGCCCCGCAAGGGGUGAGUAGAGUGGCAAACGGGUGAGUAACACGUGGGUGACCUGCCUUCGAGUGGGGGAUAACGUCCCGAAAGGGACGCUAAUACCGCAUGACAUCCUGCUUUUGGAAAAGCGGAGAUCAAAGCCGGGGAUCGCAAGACCUGGCGCUUGAAGAGGGGCCCGCGCCUGAUUAGCUAGUUGGUAGGGUAACGGCCUACCAAGGCAACGAUCAGUAUCCGGCCUGAGAGGGCGGACGGACAAACUGGGACUGAGACACGGCCCAGACUCCUACGGGAGGCAGCAGUGGGGAAUUGUUCGCAAUGGGCGCAAGCCUGACGACGCAACGCCGCGUGGAGGACGAAGAUCUUCGGGUCGUAAACUCCUGUCGAGCGGGAAGAAUACCCAUCCGGUGAAUAGCCGGGAGGGCUGACGGUACCGCUAAAGGAAGCCCCGGCUAACUCCGUGCCAGCAGCCGCGGCAAUACGGGGGGGGCAAAGCGUUGUUU